rnacentral:misc_RNA from 1 species
GCUAAAUUAAAUGGGAGUACAGGCUAAACACAUGAGACAUCCCUCGAUUUAAAAACAGAUUACAAACACAUGGAUGUUCACUUCACACACACGACAAGCAGGAGGAGGAGCAGCUGCUGAAACAAAACGACCAGCGGCGAACUUAAUUUUUUUGAAAAAGGGAGAAUCAUAACACGGUAGAACUCAUCAUCAUGGCCAAUUGCUUCAUCAACGCCUUCCAGCCAUUAUCCCCCAACAAUGGCUGCUCGAACUCCUUUGAUAUCACGCGUUGCUCCUGAAGGAGCCGAGGGCUUUGAUGGCGCCGGCCCGGAGGAUGUACUGGUGG